rnacentral:misc_RNA from 1 species
ACAACCCUCAAGCCCCGCUUGGUAUUGGGUGUCACCUUGUAAUUGUGGUGCAUCUCAAAAUCAGUGGCAGUGCCAUCAAGUCCCAAGUGUAGUAAAAUAUCUCACUUUGGGGUUUGAUUGUACGCUUGCCAGCAACAAAUUUUUUCAAU